AGUCUUGGAGUAACCAGCUUGAAUAAAAGGGGGGGGAAUUAGUGGCGGGGUGUGUGGGUGGGCCCUGGGCAGGAUGAUGGGGGGAGAAAGGAAGCAGCUGCAGGGCUGGAGCGGGCCCUCCCCACCUGCCCCGCCGCGGGCCCGGUUCUGGCUCUGGGCCAGCGCUGAAGCAUUUACUUCCCGAUCUCGCUACAAAGGGCUGAAGCCAGCGGGAGGGUGUGACGCCCCUCGUCCUCCGCGGGCAGCCCUGAACACGCCCGGAGAUUACCAGUUUGUUAGGUAAAAAGGUAGGAGGAGACCGCAGCUUCUGGACUCAGCCCCCUCCCUCCCCGUGGCCUGCAGGGCUCCAGCCUCCGAGCCCCCCAUGUGGGGCUCCUGGGGGUGCGCCCAGGAGGAGGGCUGAGCGCUGCAGUUCUCGCUGCUUCUGAGCUAACCCUUCAAUCCCGUCCUCCUCCUGGCAGCUGCCGCUGAGCCUGAGGACAUCGCUGACACACAGGGCCAGUAAGGAUGAGGACAAGCAGCGACAUGCUAGGAGGGGAUUACUAUCCAGAUUUCCUACUCUAGCCCCGCAGCAUCCCACAGAUCUUAGUGGAGACCACACACCCUAACGUGACUCAUUACAGCCUGAGAUCUGAAGAUAAAGCAGCAAGCAAAAGCACUAAUUUGUGUCUCCUAUAGUUUAUCAAAAUAAAGCGACAUCAUUUGAAAAGGCCUCCCCUGGGCACCACUUAUUCUGAAAAGGAGUCUCAGCACACAGCGAAAAAUAGAGCUCGGGAGCAAAAGCCAACCUACGUUUGUGGCUGCCGUUUUGCACAAGCACCCAGGGCAGCUCAAGCUCACCUUGGCAAGCCCCCGAGGUCGAUCUCGCUGCAGAUGUAGGGGCCUGGACGCAGGAUCACCCACAGCCCCAUCUCCGCAGCCAGCAGCACGAAGGCCCUGGGGAGGUCAGUGUCAGCAGCUCUCAGGACGUCAGGGGGGUGCAGCACAAGGUGGUGAGGCCGCCCAGCCCCUCUCCCCCCUCUCUCCCUCCCUCCACAGGCCCUGGGAGCUGGGUUCCCACCCUCUCCUAGCCCACGACCUUCUGCAAGCCCCACCGGGGGGCAUGAGGCCCAAGGCCAUCAGACAGGGGGCAGGGGGCCCUACAGUGAACCUCACUCCCACGGCCCGGCUACCCUAGAGGGCCAAGCCCUGUGACAGCCCAGGUGGCUGGACCACACUGCAGAGCGGAGCCGACCCUGGGGAUUGGGCCCCUCUGGGCUGCGGUGAAGAGGCCUGGGCUCAGGAUGCAGACCCCGACCCCGCAAGCAACAGGUUCACAGCUGCCUACACCUGGUCCUGAGAACGAGGAUGCUGAGCCCAGCCUCUCUCUGCUCCUCCAAGCAGAACCACGACGAUGGCCCCGUGAUCGUCAUCAACCCCAAGGAGCCACUGCUCUGCCUCUCCACCCCGGGCAAGGCCGAGAAGCAGCAAGAGCACUUACUCCAUGUCCAGGUUCCCGGAGAAGUCGAAUUUGCCUCUUUCUGGCUCGUGCAGGUUCCAUGGAACGUAACUGUAAUGAUGGCAAGACAGGAGUGAGCUUUCCGUGGACUCCCCUCCUGUCCUAGGUGAGCUUCUGUAUUCCUACAACCCAUCGUGACGGGUGCAGAUGCACCUCUGAGGUCUGCUGUCCCAGUGGCGUCAGGCCUGGAACCGAGACCUAAGUGCAGAGAUCUAGGGACCUUAGAGAGGCCGGGGCCAGUCCCGGGGGGCUAAUCCCUCGCCUCCUCCGGAGAAGGGAGAGCAGGCCAGGGAGAUUCGGCUGGAGCCUAUGACGUGACCACGGCCACCUUGAGCGUGCACCCCCCAUCUCUCCCACUCUUCCUUCAUCACAGAAAAGAAAAAGGAACUUCCUAGGAGGAAAAGUUAAAAGAUAAGAGGAAGCUUCAGUCGUCAGUCAGUCCCAUAGGUUCCAAAGAAUUCUCUCUUUAUCUCAUCUUUGGAAAAUAAAGAAGUUCUGCAGGGGGCCCAAGUCCAGGGAGAGGUUUGGGGUGACUGUGACAGUAACAGGCGCCCCCUGGCCGGCCCUGGCCCCACCUGCCACGUGCACAGGUAAAGGGAAAGAGGCGCCCACCCUUGAGAGGAGACGGACGACCUCGCUUCUACAAGGCAACGCUCAGUGGGCAACGCUCCCGCAGCCUCAGGGGUCCUGCCCUGGGAAUGAGGGCACCCCCAGGGCCGCAACGACCUGCGCAGACCCGCACGUCCUCUUCGGUCCCCCUUCUGGAACAUCACACACGGGUCUCAACUGCGCUGCGGCGGCCCCGCCCGAUCCCGUGACUCUCUUCAGAGACCAUCUGCAGAGCUACAUCAUGAACCACUCAAGAAAAUCUACACCCUUGAUCUGUGAUCACCACAUUUUGCCUGGAAAUAGCUUUCCCAAGGAAGCUUUUUGAAAAAGGAUCACAUUCGUUUGCUGGAUACAUUGGGGGGUGGAAUGUCGGUUUAAAAGAAAUUGAAAAUCAGGGCGUCUGAGUGGCUCAGUGGUUGAGCAUCUGCCUUCAGCCCAGGGCAUGACCCCGGGGUCCCGGGAUCGAGUCCCACGUCGGGCUCCCUGUGUGGAGCCUGCU